ACACACACACUGGACACACACACACACACACACACACACACACACACACACACACACACACACACACACACACACACACUGGACACACACACACACACACUGGACACACACACACACACUGGACACACACACACACUGGACACACACACACACUCUGGACACACACACACACUGGACACACACACACACACUGGACACACACACACACUCUGGACACACACACACUGGACACACACACACUGUACACACACACAUUCUGGACACACACACACACUGGACACACACACAUACACACACACACACUGGACACACACACACACACUGGACACACACACACACUGGACACACACACACUGGACAAACACACACUGGACAAAUACACACACACACACACACACACACACACUGUGGACACACACACACACACACACACACACACACACACUGGACACACACACACUGGACACACACACACACACACAGACAGUGGACACACACAGACAGUGGACACACACACCACACACACUGGACACACACACACACUGGACACACACACACACACACACACACACACACUGGACACACACACACACUGGACACACACACACACUGGACACACACACACUGGACACACACACACACACACACACACACACACACACUGGACACACACACACACACAGGACACACACACACACACACUGGACACACACACACACACACAGACAGGACACACACACACAGACACACACACACACACACACAGACAGGACACACACACACACUGGACACACACACACAUACUCUGGACACACACACACACAUACUCUGGACACACACACACACUGGACACACACACACACACACUGGACACACACACACACACUGGACACACACACACACACUGGACACACACACACUGGACACACACACACACUCUGGACACACACACACUGGACAAACACACACUGGACACACACACACACACUGGACACACACACACACUGGACACACACACACAGACACACACACACUGGACACACACACACACUGGACACACACACAUACUCUGGACACACACACACACACUCUGGACACACACACACAUACUCUGGACACACACACACACUGGACACACACACACAUACUCUGGACACACACACACACUGGACAAAUACACACACACACACACACACACUGGACAAACACACACUGGACAAAUACACACACACACAUAAACACACACACAGGACACACACGCACACUGGACACACACACUCUGGGCACACACACACACGGGACACACACACACUGGACACACACACACACUGGACACACACACUCAGGAAACACACAUUCUACACACACACACACUCUGGACACACACACACACUGGACACGGACACACACUGGACAAAUACACACACACACACUCUGGACACACACACACUGGACAAACACACACUGGACAAACACACACACACACACAAACACACACACAGGACAAACACGCACACUGGACACACACACACACACACACACACACUGGACACACACACACACUCUGGACACACAAUCUGGACACACACACACACACACUCUGGACACACACACACACACACUCUGGACACACACACACACACACUGGACACACACACACACACACUGGACACACACACACACACUCUGGACACACACACACACACACACUCUGGGCACACACACACACACAAUCUGCACACACACACACACACACUCUGGACACACACACACACACUCUGGACACACACACACACACACAUUCUGGACACACACACACAUACGCGUCUUUCUAUAGUUGUGAGGACCUCUUACAACAACACUGUUAAAAUACCAAUGUGAUCAUGUGUUGUCUUUUAUGUUGAAAAACAAAUUGUACAAUUAUAUAUAAUUAUAUAUGGACAUACGCUCCAUAGUUGUACAAGUAUACAAGGAUAUAUUGUACUUUUCAUAAUAAAACAUACUUGAAACAAGAAAAGGCUGUUAAUUGUGAAAACAGUUUGUUUAUUGAUUUUACGUUUCCUCUGUCAGGUUGAUGUUAACCUGCGACUGGUUGAAACAUGAAACAAAUAUGAAAUGAAAUACAAAACAAUUAAAUAUGUGGAAUAGAAUUAAACAAAUUGUAAUACAACAGGGUCACUAUAGCAACAGAGUGUUGUAGUGCAGGGUCACUAUAGCAACAGAGUGUUGUGAUGCAGGGUCACUAUAGCAACAGAGUGUUGUGAUGCAGGGUCACUAUAGCAACAGAGUGUUGUAAUGCAGGGUCACUAUAGCAACAGAGUGUUGUGAUGCAGGGUCACUAUAGCAACAGAGUGUUGUGAUGCAGGGUCACUAUAGCAACAGAGUGUUGU
ensembl:lncRNA